GAUGAAUGCUGGCGGCGUGCCUAACACAUGCAAGUCGAGCGGCAGCGAGGGGUGCUUGCACCCUGUCGGCGAGCGGCGAACGGCUGAGUAACGCGUAGGAAUUUGCCCCAAAGUGAGGAAUAACUGCCCGAAAGGGUAGCUAAUGCCGCAUAUGGUCUUCGGAUUAAAGGAUUUAUCCGCUUUGGGAGAAGCCUGCGUUGGAUUAGGUUGUUGGUAGGGUAAUGGCCUACCAAGCCGACGAUCCAUAGCUGGUCUGAGAGGAUGAUCAGCCAGACUGGAACUGAGACACGGUCCAGGCUCCUACGGGAGGCAGCAGUGAGGAAUCUUGCACAAUGGGCGAAAGGCUGAUGGAGCAACGCCGCGUGAAGGAUGAAGGCCUUCGGGUUGUAAACGUCUUUUAUGAGUGAAGAAUAUGACGGUAACUCAUGAAUAAGCACCGGCUAACUACGUG
rnacentral:rRNA from 1 species